UCGACAUUCUUCGGCCCUCCCACCACCGUGUCUGUCGUCCGUUGCUGCACUUUUCAUGCCUCGCCGCCGCCCAAUGGAGAAGAGCUCCUCACCGUGCGAGAUCUCCUGGUGCUCCUCCCUGCCGUAAAGAUCCGCUGCUCCUCCCCAUCGGAGAUCUUCCAAGCACGGAGAUCUGCUGCUCCUUCCCGCCAGAGAUCUCUUGAUGCAUCUAGGAAGACGACGUCGGCUUCACGGUCGGUGUUAUGGGGGUGGUCCUCUGCGUGCUCGGUCCGCUGAGGUUCUGGGUGCGUAGAUGCGGUGGAGGUAGUGGAUGUGCUGCGUCAGUCGGCCAAACUCCGACGGCUGUCGAGUUGCUGCUGAUGAUGCGCAAGCUCUGCUUCUUCCACACGACAGGUUCCUAGCAGUAGUACUAGAUCAUGAGCGGCAAAGAUUGCAACUUGUAUUAAACUAAUCCCUUUCUACUGUCGUUGUUACUUGAUGGUUUAUCUUUUGCUUUGGUGAAUUUGCGAUGCCGGCCA